GUAGAUGAGUUAAAAUGAGGAAACGUCCAUAAUUCUGGACAAAUGGUGACUACGCUCACUGGAGGCUUUGGGUGGUCUCUUUUAUGUCCGUCUACAAUGGAACAAACGGCUUUCACCGGAAGGCGACUGCUCUGGAUGUUUACAGAAGCUGGACAAGUAGGGAACUGCAGGGAAAGAGGAGCCCAGGAAUUUACCUGACUUUUCCCUUCAGCAUGGCACCCACAACAUGUAACUGUCAUGGUGCCCAGAAAGGCAGCGUAGAAAUGGCGGGAGCAAUGUUGGGGUUGAAAGGUCAUGGAGGAACAGAAAAGCCAGCAUGUUUCCAGUUUCCCCUUUGCUCUCAGUGUAGACUGAGAUGGACCCAAGUGUCCCACAGAACAUGGUCAGAGAUGGAUCCUGAUAUCCUGCAGAAUGUGGGGCUGAGAUGGACUCUGAACAUGUAUGACAUGGACGAAGACGCUAUUGUGUGGCUUUCUUUGUGGUGCUUCAGAGAUCAGCAGACUACAGCCAAAUCAGACUGCUGUGGUAAGGUCGCCAGCUCUCUGAGGCACUUCCUGAAUCAGCUACUGUAUAUGAGGUGUUAUUCCAAGUUCUGCUUCAGGAGCAAACCACACCUUAAGCAAAUUACCACCUUCUGUUCCACUCUUCCCCCAAGCCCUUCUGCGUGGGCAAGUCUGGAAAUGAUCGCCUGGCAAGAAAAGCCUUUUAAAUCUGAAUGCUGCUCUGUGAGAAGUUCUCCACUCUGGAAGCCCGGAAGCCCCUUCAGAAGUCAGGAAAUAAAUCCCCAAGUCAGCUCCAAUGGAAGACACCCAGUUGGGCUUGUUGGUGAUCCACUUGAGAAUUAACCCUUCCCUUUAAAGAUCCUGGAAGAAGUUCAGUAUCACUAUUAUUAAGGCAAGAUUUGUCAACAGCGGAUGCAUACAAAAUAGAACAGCUGGAAUAAACAACUUGAUGAUAAUUACUUUACAUUUGCUGAAAAAUAUCAAGUUAAGGUGUUCCAGUGACUUGAGUUUAAAGUGAAACCAAAUCCUUUUGAAUCUGAUCUGCAGACAUUAUUCUGAUAAGUCACACGCACACGUCUAUGCAGUUCAAACGAUCUCAAGCAGAGGACGGUCUGAAGCGAUGCACUUGAUGUUUUCUUUGUCGACAAUUGAGUUAAUGCUGUAACUCUUCCUUGGCAACUGCCAAAGCCAGAAUGUGGUUAUCCAUGAAAAACGGUGUUAGAUAAAAGCAUUUGGAAGAAGGUACUGUGCCGUGGGUUUUACAUGCAAAAUUUGAUUCAUCAAACGCAUAUA